rnacentral:rRNA from 1 species
UACGGAGGAGGCAAGCGUUAUCCGGAAUUAUUGGGCGUAAAGCGUCCGCAGGUGGCGAUUCAAGUCUGCGGUUAAAGACUGGGGCUUAACCCUGGAAAGGCCGUGGAAACUGAAACGCUAGAGUGCAGUAGGGGUAGAGGGAAUUCCCGGUGUAGCGGUGAAAUGCGUAGAGCUCGGGAAGAACAUCGGUGGCGAAAGCGGCGCACUGGACCACAACUGACGCUGAGGCGCGAAAGCUAGGGGAGCAAACAGG